rnacentral:lncRNA from 1 species
GCCACUGCCAUUGUCUACGGCCACACCACCUGGAAAACGAGAGAGACCCAAGCCGCGGCCCGUGGGCACGCUCAGCGCCACUGCUCCUGCCACAGUGACGGGCGCACUCUACAACUUUCAGGGCCCACAGCACCAAGAGGACAGGGAGGAGCCCUUGCUGCCUGGCUCAUGAAAGCCCCCUGUGGGAGAGCCCCAGGAGCGCAGGGCAUGUGGGGUGCAGGAAGCGCCUUUCCCCACGCCCCGGUGUAGGUGAACUCGAUAGAGGAGGGAGGAGGGUGACACCCACCAGGGGUGCUAAUUAGUAACCACAGUGGCCUCAAAGAACUCAAAUGAAAGGAAGACUUGCAAGUCUCUCACUUUAAGUCCAGAGCUAGAAAUGAUUAAGCUUAGUGAAUAUGUAGAAUUUUCAUAGCUAGAGAGAAGUCAACGCUUGGCUUCAAAACUUCAAAGGAUGGGCUGACUCUCUUUGAGGACCACUGCAGCUGGUGACUUUAAGUUACAGCCAGUGCUCAUUGACCACUCUGAAAAUCUCAGGGCCCUUAAGAAUUAUGCAAAAUCUAUUCUUUCUGUGCUCUAGAAAUGGAACAUCACUGUCUGGGUGACAGCACAUCUGUUAAUAGCAUGGUUUACUGAAUAUUUUAAUCCCACUAUUGAGACCUACUGCUCAGAAAAAAAAAAAAACGAUUCUUUUAAAAAGAUUGUUGGUUGGCCAGGCAUAGUGGCUCAUACUUGUAAUCCCUGCACUUUGGGAGGCCGAGGAUCACCUGAGGUCAGGAGUUCAAGACCAGCCUGGCCAAGAUGGUGAACGCAGUCUCUACUAAAAAUACAAAAAUUAGCCAGGCGCAGUGGCGGGCACCUGUAUUCCCAGCUACUCGGGAGGCCGAGGCAGGAGACU